rnacentral:rRNA from 1 species
CAGCAGCCGCGGGAAUACGUAGGGUGCGAGCGUUAAUCGGAAUUACUGGGCGUAAAGCGUGCGCAGGCGGCUUUGUAAGACAGGCGUGAAAUCCCCGGGCUCAACCUGGGAAUGGCGCUUGUGACUGCAAAGCUAGAGUGCGGCAGAGGGGGAUGGAAUUCCGCGUGUAGCAGUGAAAUGCGUAGAUAUGCGGAGGAACACCGAUGGCGAAGGCAAUCCCCUGGGCCUGCACUGACGCUCAUGCACGAAAGCGUGGGGAGCAAACGGGAUUAGAUACCCGCGUAGUCCCUGUCUCUUAUAA